GUCGAACGGGAAUUACUUUAUUGAAACUUCGGUCGAUUUAAUUUAAUUCUCGUUGCGGACGGGUGAGUAACGCGUGGGUAACCUGCCUUGUACAGGGGGAUAACAGUCAGAAAUGACUGCUAAUACCGCAUAAGCGCACAGGACCGCAUGGUCCGGUGUGAAAAACUCCGGUGGUAUAAGAUGGACCCGCGUUGGAUUAGCUAGUUGGCAGGGUAACGGCCUACCAAGGCGACGAUCCAUAGCCGGCCUGAGAGGGUGAACGGCCACAUUGGGACUGAGACACGGCCCAGACUCCUACGGGAGGCAGCAGUGGGGAAUAUUGCACAAUGGGGGAAACCCUGAUGCAGCGACGCCGCGUGAAGGAAGAAGUAUCUCGGUAUGUAAACUUCUAUCAGCAGGGAAGAAAAUGACGGUACCUGACUAAGAAGCCCCGGCUAACUACGUGCCAGCAGCCGCGGUAAUACGUAGGGGGCAAGCGUUAUCCGGAUUUACUGGGUGUAAAGGGAGCGUAGACGGAUGGACAAGUCUGAUGUGAAAGGCUGGGGCUCAACCCCGGGACUGCAUUGGAAACUGCCCGUCUUGAGUGCCGGAGAGGUAAGCGGAAUUCCUAGUGUAGCGGUGAAAUGCGUAGAUAUUAGGAGGAACACCAGUGGCGAAGGCGGCUUACUGGACGGUAACUGACGUUGAGGCUCGAAAGC
rnacentral:rRNA from 1 species